rnacentral:tRNA from 1 species
AGCGCUGUUUAAAUAGAUUAAGUCGGGCUCAUAACCCGGAGGUCGCUGGUUCAAAUCCAGCCCACGCUACAA